AAUAGGAGCUUAGGGAGGAAGAUGAGCUACUGGAGAUCUGAGCAGUGCAGAUACUGACAAGCAUUUGGAGAGAAGCUACACAGGAAGAGCAAGCUGUCGGUGCUUCGAUCCAAAAUCAUUAUCAGAAAGGGCCUGUUGAAUUGAAUGACUGGAGGAAGAGAUGUAGGAACCAUUUCUACGACAGUGACUGCUACUGCUUCAGUGCCGUUCUCAUGAACAUUCAGCAGAGCCUUGUGAACAGCCUGCAAGGAAAUGAAGUAAACGUUACAGUCUAAAUACAGAACGGUGGGCAGUGGCUGAAACUGAACAUGCUCACUUUUAAACCAGAGCUCUUUGGAAAAUCAGCUGGUAAGACAUGAGCCCAAUAAGAGCAGGACUGAUGGAGCACAAUGGAAGAAAUACAAACAGCAUUCCCAAUGAGUUCGUUAGGAGCUUUGUCUGUGUAAGUAAGUAUUGCAGGGUUAGGCGCAUUAAUAUUAAAAGACUGAGCUGGAAGAUUCAAAUCACCACAAAGGGAUUCUCCUAUUCACUACUCCUCACCACAGAAGAAUAGUUUCAGAAUCUGAAAUAAAUGUCUAGUGAAGAAUUAGUUUACAACAGAAAACUGGAUCAGCUUCAAGAGGAAUGAUGACAUCAGAGGGAAAGGAACCAGCUAGCUGAGCUCCAGGGAGGCAAAACUGACAUGAAUUCUCAAUGUUUUUCUCAAGCACCUGAUCUGCAAACCAAAGCACAGUAACUCAGGGGUCAGAGUGUACAGCUGUGGUGGGGAAGCCAAUGGCAGCACAGGCAUCAGCCACUCUUUCAGGGAUUCUGGAAUCUGGACCAAGGGACUUUUCUGUAUGGCUGAUUGGAGACCUACAUGGCUGAAACCAGACUUUCCUGUGAAUCCCCAGUCUUACACUAGGACCACAUACCACUUCCUGCACUUCUCUCACCUAAGUCUGCAGCUGAAAGGAGGAUGCAGAGAAGAGACACCACCCUCAACCUGGUGAGGUUUCACAUGGGCUGAUUUCUUUGCAUGUGCUUCUCAGAUGUGUUAGUUACAUAUCCUCACAGCUUACCUUAUGGACAAUACAAAACUUGCAAGAGUGUUUUAGCUAUACAAGAAUGCAUAAGGAAAUGUACCCUGAGUAGGGCUGGCUAGAAAACAAUAUUUUGUGUCAUUUAAAAAAAAAGAGUUUUUUACAUUUGUUUUUGUUCAUGCAGAACAAAAAUUAGAUAUUUAAAAAAAAAUUUCACAAAAAGCAAACACCCUAGAAUAGCCACCAGCCCAGGGUAGUUACCACAAAUGGAUUGGAACAGGAACUUAAACAUGGCUCGCCCAUAUUCCAGGCAAGUAUCCUAAUCACUGGUCUAAGUUGGGAUGUGCUGCUCUCAUCGUACUGUGACUAGAAAUUCAUCCUGAAACUGAGACAUCUCGAUGGAAAUGCCUAACUCCAUAUAUUUUUGCAAAACAUUUUGGCUUUUAAGGAAAUGGCAUUUUUAACCAGCUCUAACUUUGAGUAUGAUAGAAGGGUAUGAGUGAGAUGCUGCCCUGUAUACUGAAUACACAAGAUUAUUUGCUGAAAGCGUGCCAAAAAAGUAUAUAAACCUAAUAACCCCACCUCCUUAAUGCUAACUUCACCCUUUCCUCAUUUACAUAGAUGAUAAAAAUACCCGCUGUGGAAAAAACAAUAUUGUUAAUAAUCACAUGGUAAAGCUGCAUUAGAGUGUGAGUUACAGGACAUUGGGUGCACGGUGUUUAUUUCUGUGUUGCAAGUGGAAGGGAUUUUCGUGUGCAAGCCAGGACUCUGGUAGUAGGACUGGUUAUUGUGGUAAUGUGCACAGUAUGACAAAUACCAUUUUCU